ensembl:lncRNA
AUGACAGGCCUUCGGAGCCAUUUCUUUUCCAAAGGGCAGGCACUGGGGGCAUGGGGCGACUGCCUCUCUGCAGGUGCGGCAGGCUGCCCCCCCCAGGCAGGCUGCACGCUUACACACAGCUGCGCCUGGGGCCACUCCUGCACCCACCUGCCUUCCCCUUUCACACGUACCUCUGCCUCACCAGGGACUAUAGGGAGGGAUGGGGAUAGGCUCAGCUGAAGUUGUCCCCUGAAUUCUCCAGGCUGUGAAUGAUGUUGAUGCUAAGAAUAGUUACUGAUAAAUCUUUGGCUUGGGUUAUUUGGUUUUCUAAAUAGCAGCUCUUCCCAUCAUUUUGAUAAACAGCAUGUUUUCUUUCCACUUCAUUUUCUCCUUCUCUCUCCAAAGUGAGUGAGAGGGAGAGAGUGGCUGCAGAAGGGCUGACCUGGUGCCAUGUCUGCAUCUCACCCAAAGUUAUAUGCAAGUUUUGUUCAGGGAUAACCCUCAACUGUGUUGGUGCUCACCACUGACACUGUGCAUGUCCAGCUCUCACACAGGCUGGAAAACAGAAAAAAAGAAAAGCCUGAGCACUCCUGUAACACCCAGCCCUCUGCUGUAGCAGUUGCCCUUGUCUUCAUUAGGCCCAGGUCCUGUGCCCUGCUCAAGCCCACUGCUGCUCUCCUGAGGAGCUGGGGCAGUGAGGGAGCUGAGGGCAUGCUGCGCCUGGCAGGGUGGUCUGAGUAGAGACCGCAACCACUGACAAACGCCACGUGCCAUUUGUGGAUCUACCUCACCUGCACAUUUAACCGGGUUCUCUGUUACUUGGUGUCCUUCUGUGGGAAAUGACAUUUGUAAGCGCUUAGUGUUGAGCGAUUCCCUACCCCACCCCAACCCCAUCCUGUCUAGAGGAAUGCUGUGAAUGCGAUAACCUGCGCUGUAGCCCAAGGUCAUGCCAGCUUCCCCCAGCCAGGCACUUGCUGAGCACCCAAGAGCAAUGUUGAGGUUCGGCCCACUGGCUCCGCAGUGAUUUAGUUUAAAGUGCCAAAGACCUACAAGUGGGGAUGCUGAAAAGGGCAGCAUUAAUGUUAUUAAAGCAAUCCCUGCUGAGCAUGUCCAGCUCUGGCUUCUUGAAACAUAAGGACACCUAAACCAGCCCUACUGCUCACAGCCGUAUUCUGGCCUCUCCCUGCUGCAGGGUGUUUGUCCAGGUGGGCUGACUGGCCCUCCUGCCCAAGCAGCCUGCCUUACCUGAGCACUCCCCUUCACAGGCAGGAAGCUCUUGGUACAGCAGCAGCCUGGCUCACACCCCAGUGCCUGUGUGGUGGCUGCAAGGAGCACGUGUGUAGGGCUCCUCAUGGGCCUGAGGCCAGCCUGUUAGAGGAGUGGGCUUUGAGCCAGCAUCCCGCCAGCUGCAAACCAAGCCUCGCAGGUCUCCUUUCUCUGCAAGAAACAAGUGCAGGCACCCGGGGGUGUGGGCGUCCGCCUCAUCCCCUAUGGGGCAGGGGCUUUGGCUGUGCUCUUCUGUGCAGCUGCCUUCUCACCUUAGGGCAUGGCGGGGCUGAAUGGGGCCACCCCGUAAAUAGGAAGAGUUUUAAGCAGAGGCAGGAGGAGCUGCUGCUCACAUUUGGAGGAGCUUUUCCCGUACAAGGUGUGCCUGUAUGUUCCUUUCAGCUAGUCAAUAGCGGGGGGGGAAAGGAUGAAGGUGAGCAAGAAACAUAGCAGCAAUUAACCAAGGCCCACUAUGUUGGGCCAGGGGCUGGGGUUUUCCAGUCAGGGACAUGGUAAGAGUUUGAAGCUUUUCCUGAACCAAGCGCUCCCUAGUUUGUGCCGAUUGAGCUCCCUGUCUUGAACAGACUUGCUGCUUCAGCUUUCUGCCAGUGUUAGUGCAGUGUCUGUCCAUCACCACCUCCCACCCUGCCACCUGGGAUGUUGCUUUUUAGUUGCUAAUGUCAGUUUCAUACCCAAAGUUCUUUGUUGGAGCCAGGAGGGCUUUUGCAACCAGCGCCAGGUUUGGCCUUGCUUGUGCAGAAGAGAGAAAAAGCUCAGGCCCAGGGACAGCCAUUUGCCUUCUGCAGCAGCCAGAGCCAGCAGCAGGAGCGGGCCAGGCCCUUCCCUGUGGGUGGGGGCUGCCCUGGGGCAGAGGGGCCAAAGCAUGUCUGUGUCCAGGCUGGAUGCAGGCACAGCUCUGUGCCCCUAAGCACAGCAUGGACCAUCCCGCUACAGCCUUUGCUUUGCUUGCGCUCAUUCAGGUGCUUAAGCGAGCCCUCCCCAGCAUUUACUUGACACAGUGUUUACUGGUUGAAGUUUUCAUACAUAAAUAAACAAUUCAGAGUCCCAAACUCCUUGGUGUUGCUGUGAUAACUGUGAAGCGCUUGCAUGUAAUCGGCCAAAAAGAGCUACCGAGCAUGCGAUGUUUUUCUGCCCCACUCGGCCCUGCUGAGGUGGCGAUGGCGGGCGCUGCCAACCGUCACUGGGAGCAACCGCGCGUGGCAACGUCACAGAAAGUGUUCAAAAGUUACAAGUGGAAAGUUUUUGUUGCACAAUAAAGAGCUUCACUCUGAGGGUCUGGAAAGGGUUUUAUACCCCUUGAUGGGUACGUGCGUGUUUCUGCGUUGUCACAAAUAAAAGCAAACGUUCUCAAA